AACGCGAAGAACCUUACCAACCCUUGACAUGCCAGGACGACUUCCAGAAAUGGAUUUCUUCUCGCAAGAGACCUGGACACAGGUGCUGCAUGGCUGUCGUCAGCUCGUGUCGUGAGAUGUUGGGUUAAGUCCCGCAACGAGCGCAACCCUCAUCUUCAGUUGCCAUCAGGUAAGGCUGGGCACUCUGAAGAAACUGCCGGUGACAAGCCGGAGGAAGGUGGGGAUGACGUCAAGUCCUCAUGGCCCUUACGGGUUGGGCUACACACGUGCUACAAUGGCGGUGACAAUGGGUCGCGAGUCCGCGAGGACAAGCUAAUCUCAAAAAGCCGUCUCAGUUCGGAUUGCACUCUGCAACUCGAGUGCAUGAAGUCGGAAUCGCUAGUAAUCGUGGAUCAGCAUGCCACGGUGAAUACGUUCCCGGGCCUUGUACACACCGGCUAC
rnacentral:rRNA from 1 species